rfam:Candidate division WOR-1 bacterium RIFOXYB2_FTLL_37_13 rifoxyb2_full_scaffold_1231, whole genome shotgun sequence.
UUAAAUGAGCGAUAAGACCAUUAAAGGUUGUCUGAGGUGCUUUCUUCCAUCUGGUGGUUAUGAGCCUCAGCAUAAAGAACUUUUAGGGCUCGCUCUUUUU